rnacentral:rRNA from 1 species
CAGGGGGCACCUGAUCCUACAUGCCGCGUGAGUGAAGAAGGCCUUCGGGUUGUAAAGCUCUUUUGUCAGGGAAGAAACACCGGCUCUAACACAGUCCGGGAAUGACGGUACCUGAAGAAUAAGCACCGGCUAACUACGUGCCAGCAGCCGCGGUAAUACGUAGGGUGCGAGCGUUAAUCGGAAUUACUGGGCGUAAAGCGUGCGCAGGCGGUUGUACAAGACAGGCGUGAAAUCCCCGGGCUUAACCUGGGAAUGGCGCCUGUGACUGUACGGCUAGAGUGUGUCAGAGGGGGGUAGAAUUCCACGUGUAGCAGUGAAAUGCGUAGAUAUGUGGAGGAAUACCAAUGGCGAAGGCAGCCCCCUGGGAUAACACUGACGCUCAUGCACGAAAGCGUGGGGAGCAAACAGGAUUAGAUACCCUGGUAGUCCACGCCCUAAACGAUGCUGACUAGUUGUUCGGGAUUUACAUCCUGAGUAACGUAGCUAACGCGUGAAGUCAGCCGCCUGGGGAGUACGGUCGCAAGAUUAAAACUCAAAGGAAUUGACGGGGACCCGCACAAGCGGUGGAUGAUGUGGAUUAAUUCGAUGCAACGCGAAAAACCUUUACUACCCUUGACAUGUCACU